rnacentral:lncRNA from 1 species
UCCUGUGUUGUGGUGAAGUUCUUAGGACUAUUUAGACUCGACAAAGGAGGAUUUGUCGCUUAGUCCUUAAACAUGUUCGCGACCAAAUGAUACGUUGUUACCAAAGAUGACAACGUUUAUCGAGCAUAGGUCGUUGUGUGCCAUAUGGAUUGGUUGUCCUCAUAACCAAAGAGUGUGGAGACACUGGUAUGGCAUACAGGUG